GAAUGCAGUUUGUUUUCUGUCUCUUUUUCUACAUCCUCCCCACGUAUCUCCUCUUUUCCUCUCUCCUUCCUUAUGUUCUCCUUCCAUCUGUCGAUUAUCUUCCUGGCAGAUUUUGUAACUUUGUCUGCUUUCAUAUUCAUGUUGGGGUGUUUUGACCUGAGCACGGUGUCCUGAAUCACAGCUUCUUCUGCGCCUCCUUCAUUUCUCACCGGCUGCAACAACCCUCCUACCUCCACAUUAAUCUGGUCUUUAUCCCUGUCUGACAAUACGCUUUCUACUCCUGAAUUCUCCUUGUCAACUAUGGGAGUGAGGAAGCGUGAUCUCGGAAGCGGUACAGGCAGGAGGUCAGGGGAAAUUUCUCUUGUUUCAGGCCCAGAAGAGGUACUUCCAUUUAGGCUGUCCUUUGAUCUCCCCUCAAGCCCAAGGGAUAAAUGUUUGUUUCUGCUUGGAGGUUUGGACAAAAGUUUGGGUUCUCCCAUUAGCCCCUUCUCCUCUGGCAUUGAGGCUUUUGGGAGGCUCCCUAAAACCUUCCCCCUCGGCUCAAUAAGGUCCUGCUCCAUAAUGGACCCAGUUGGCUCCAUUUUCUGCACUACUUCGCUGCCUUGUGAUGUACAGGUUGGAGGAGGAUCCAGCAGUGGCUGCAAGAAUUGGCAUUGGGACUUAGUGAUGACAGAGUUCAUAAAAAGACUGUCUCGAGGGGACAGCAACACAUCCUCCUUCUGAACCGGCAGACGAGGUAGAAACCUUGUCUUUGGGGAUUUUGGUGGUGUAGGUGUUCUGGGGUCUUGGACAGGAGAGCUGUGUAAAAACGAUCGCUUGCAGGAUUUGGGUGUAGGAGGGGUUCUGAUGUCAAGGACAGGGGGACUGGGUAGAAACAUUUUUUUGGGGUAUACGGGUGGAGGAGGGGAUCUGGUGUUUAGGACAGGGGGUGUAGGUAGAAUUUUUUUCUUGGAGGGUAUGGGUGGAGGAAGGGGUCUGGUGUCUAGGACAGGGGGUGUAGGUAGAAUUUUUUUCUUGGAGGGUAUGGGUGGAGGAGGGCGCCUGGUGUCUAGGACAAGAGGACAGGGUUUAAACACCUUUCUCUCCCAUCUCGGAAUCACAGCGGGGGGGAUGCUGGUUUCUUCUCCCACAACGGGUGUUUCCAAGACUGCAUGCAAAAUAUGAAUACCAGAAUUCCCCUCGUCGCUCUCCUCCGAUUCCAUGGAAGGCGAUUUCAGGUCUUCGUGCGUCUCGGUCGGAACUUCCGAUUGCUGAACAUCAUUACUAUUAUCAUCUUCCUCAGUCACCGCGACAACCUCCGCUCGAAGUAUGUCAGCAGCGUCCGUUUCCCCCGAGGCUGCGCGGCAACGGUACGGGGGGGUGUUCGGGCGUUUAUGAUAUGGAUCGUUGUGUUCUGCAUCGCUUAGUCUCUGCAGCAUGGACUGGAUCAGUGAUUUACUUCUGGACGGACUGUUCACUUCAGACAUC
ensembl:lncRNA